UUCAUGAUCUCUGCAAAAUGCUGCCAAGC
rnacentral:piRNA from 1 species